rfam:Triticum aestivum genome assembly, contig: Triticum_aestivum_CS42_TGACv1_scaffold_485739_6AS
UUUGUACUCCCUCCGUCCCAAAAUUCUUGUCUUAAAUUUUUCUAAAUACGGAUGUAUCUAGUUACAUUUUAGUGUUAGAUACAUCCGUAUCUAAACAAAUGUAAGACAAGAAUUUUGGGAUGGAGGGAAUACUAC